CGGCGCAAUUCUAAUAGAGGAGGGCCCCAUAUGACUCCCAUCUUCUUCUUCAUUAGAAACAGAAAUCAUCAGCCAAGAACAGAACAGCUUCCGCUAUUUAACAAACACAAAUGACCCCUACAUUUAUCUUAUUCGUUUAACCCAACAGCCGAUCUUUUUCAUGAGAGGAGAUACAACCUAAAAUACUCCCCUCCAUCUCCAGCAUCCAAUGACACCCAUCCUCUUUACCAUCAAACCAGGCGCCAACCACCAUCUGAUCCUAACUCAUCCUAAAAUCACGCACGGUCAGAGUUUUGUAAAAGCUCCAUCAACUCAUUUUAAAACAAUUGGAUUCAUAGCAGGUAAUUUUUAUAUAUAUAAGUGAUGAGUGAACUCCUUUUUUCCUUUGUAUUUCCCACUUAAAUGAUCCUUUACGCUCUAAGUUAAAGAUAGCACUUAAGAGAGAAAAUCGAUCAGUUGAACAAUAAUGGCAAGAUGAAAACUGAAGAGCUUAGCGUUUAUAGUAUUCUAAGUAUAAAACUCGUUCAGAUAAAUAGAAGUCUUUUAGACAAGAGGGGCUUGCUCUAAUGGUAAGCAACUACCACUUCUAACCGAGAGGUUGUGAGUUCGAGUCUUCCCAAGAGCAAAUGUAAGUUCUUGGAGGGAAGGAUGCUGGGUCUAUUUGGAAACAGUCUCUCUAUUCUAUCCCAGAGUAGGGCCUCCCAGACCCCACUAAGUGGGAUUAUACUGGAUUGUACUUUUUUUUUAGAAUAAGAAAGAAAGAGUGUAGUCAGAUCCGAUGUUUGCAGUUCAGUGUGAUUGAGGUCAUUUUGGUUCCGAUCUUUCUGUGUCAAUUUCUCAUUUCCUUCUACUUCUUGUUUGCUUAACAUCAUGCUCUUAUUUUUGUUAAUCUACCGUUACUCUGUUUUUGAAUGUCAUUUUGUUGCAACUGUUUAGUAUAAUAUGUUUAGAUGAGUCUUGAUAGUUAAAGUGACGUUUGAUUCCAUUUCUAAUUGUAUUAUUAAUAGACAAUUGUUUAAACAUCUACUCAUUCGAAUUGGUUAUAGUUGAAUAUUAUUUUGUCAUAAUAUGAAAAUUGGGUUGCUAUCCUUCAAUUGAACUAUGUCAAAGUAGAUUAAAAGGGCUCAGGUAUGCAUUUUAUGUGACUUUACCAUAAUUUUUAAUAAUAAUAGUAGAAAUAAACAUAUUAUAAAUAUGUGUGUGUAUAUCAUGUGACCCGAUUCUAAUUUCCAACAAGGUUAAAUAGAACGUGUGGUAAACUGCGGGUGUAUUUCAUGUAGCGUGGCCUGUGAUGUAUUUUAAAUAACCUUGAAUUUUUUUGAAAUAUUAAAUGCGGUUUUAAAGUUAAAAAUACAUAUAGGUUAAAAAGUAUUUUAUAAUCAGAUAAUUAGGCCAAUAAUAAUAGUUGAGCGACCGUGCUAGAAUUAUGAAACUCGAAAAUGCACAACACCUUAUCUCGGGUUAACAGAAUUCCUUACUCGUAUUUCUGUGUUCGCAAACUGUAGAACAGAGUCAAUUUCCUUGAUUCAUGAUUUUAAAUCAGUGACUUGGGUAACCAUUAAUUAUCCUAAGUGGUGACUUUGAUUUUGAUAUCAAUAAUCCCAUUUCUAUUAAUGUCACUUGAAUUGAAAAAACUCCUUUACACCCAUUCUGGGCUAGUAAAAAAGAGGUGUGUUAGCUCUAGGGACUCUACUGGGGAUAAGAACCCAGAACUUUAGUUCAGGAUUCAGAAUUUAAGCUUAGAAUAAUUGUUAUACUUGGCUUUAUUUAUUAUUUAUUUUUUAUAUGUUUGCGCCUAAUGUGCUAAAUGCCGAUUUUUCUUUAAUAUUGUGUGAACUGUAUAUAAACUGCUAUGAAACACUUCUUCUCUGAGUCUUCUAAAUCAUCUGGGAAGAGUGCACUUCGUGUGACUUCGUUUCUGUUAGAUUAAGAAGUUGCAAAGCCAGUGAAGCUUUUGUAUUCCUAAGACGUCGCCCUCCACCCCUCGACUCGAGCUGUCCGCUCGGGCAAGCCAGGUUUAGAAAAAUGCACCUAGGUUUUUAAACCUAGAAAAACAUAACCUCAUGUCAGAUCCCUAGUAGGAACAUUUGUUUGCAUCACGUGCAUUUGACUUUGGGGACUCAACAUAUGGGUUAGGUCCUUCUAGAACAAGAAAUAAAAGACCAUCCUGAUGAAUCUUACGUGCUAUUUGUACAUUUAUUUUGCUUCGGCUUGUAUGUUGACUAGCUAAGGAAAGAGAAACAACAAAAAAAACUAAGAAUGAGGUAGGAUAGAGAAUUCACCCGAUCAUGAAAAUCCCGGUAAUUGAAAAUGCCUCGAAACUCUGCCAAAAAUUUUGUAAAAAUAAAAAGAGAGGAAAAGAAAAUAUAUUUCAAAAAAUGGAGUCAAUAUCAUGUUUUUCCAAUUAUGUCAAAACUAGCGAAUUACACAGGUCUGAUUCUCACCGGAUGUGAGAUACUUAGCAAACUUCAUUUGUUCCGGCCCACAAUUUCAUAAAAAAUACAAAACUAUUUUCCAUUACUUGCUUUUAGAUCCCUAUUUUUUAAAAAUAUACAAAAGUAUUUUCUUUUAAUUUUUUCUCAAAAUUCAAAAGUAUUUUCAUUCUUCUUUCAAAAUUAAAUUCAAGAUUCAAAAAUAAUUUCUUUUUUCUUAAGAAGCAUUUCUUCCAUAAAAUCAAAAUAAAACUAAAAAAUAUUUCCUUUCAUUUUUAGAAGUUUUUCUUUCAAAAUUCCAAGAAAAAUCAAAAAUCCAAAAAAUACUUUUUCUUUCUACUUUGGAAGUCUUUCGUUCGAAAUUUCGAAAAAAUUCAAAAAAAAUAAAAAAUCUAAAAUAUUUUGAUUCUUAUUUCAAAAAUUGAAAAGAAAAUUCGAAAUUCAAAAAUAUUUUCUUUUUUCUUUAGAAGUAUUUCUUUAAUAAAUUCAAAAUAGAAGUCCAAAAAUUCAAAAAUAUUUUCUUUCUUCUUUAAAAGGUUUUCUUUCGAAAUUCCAAAAAAGGAAAAAAAGGUGAAAUUAAGAAGAAUAAAGAGAAAAUAUUUUUUUUCUUCUUUAUGAGUCUUUCUGUUCUUCGAAAAUUUAAAAUUCAAAAAAAGUUUGUUUAUUUCCUUUAUUCUUAAUAUUUUUUCAAACUAAACAAGAUCUGAUUCAUGUUCACACAUGAUACAUAGGCAACCCACAUCAUGUUCGAUCAAACAUUGAAAAGAAAAGAAAGAAAAAAAAGAAAAAUGAUGAUAAUAAUAAGGACUGACUGAGUCCAUUCUAACAUGUCUUGUUUUGAAUUGUGAAGAGUGUUGAGGUGGUCGGUUUGUGGUAAGAGGACAACACCAAAUCCAAGGAAAAGUGAUAACUGACAUUGAAGUUGUUACAAGUGCUCAAGAGACUCAGG
rnacentral:lncRNA from 1 species